GAGUCUCUACCUUCUGAGGAACUUUCAUGCCAUUCGUUUGGUGUGAUGGGAAAUCAGGACUGUUACUUUGAAAAAAUUAGAGUGUUUAAAGCAGGCUAACGUCUGAAUACAUUAGCAUGGAAUAAUGAAAUAGGACGGAUUGAUUCUAUUUCGUUGGUUUCUAGGGUCACCGUAAUGAUUAAUAGGGAUAGUUGGGGGCAUUAGUAUUCAAUUGUCAGAGGUGAAAUUCUUGGAUUUAUUGAAGACUAACUACUGCGGAAGCAUUUGCCAAGGAUGUUUUCAUUAAUCAAGAACGAAAGUUAGGGGAUCGAUGACGAUCAGAUACCGUCGUAGUCUUAACCAUAAACUAUGCCGACUAGGGAUCGGACGCAGUUAAUUUUAUAAUGACGUGUUCGGCACCUUACG
rnacentral:rRNA from 1 species